AUGAACCAACUUGGUAUUACCCUUUUGAUUCUCUCAAUCUUAUUGAUGAAUCAUGUUAGAGCACAAACACAAAGUUCAUCAUCACAAGUAUGUCAUCAUAGACAAUUACUUCCUCUUAGUGAUGAUCCAAAUAAUCAAUUAUCAACACUCAUGAGAUCAAGGUCAAGAUUUUCAGUUGUCCUAUUUGUAGACAUAAAGUCAACAUUGAAGAUGAAACAACUUUUGCAUAUUCAAAUAGUUUAA